AAAAUUGGGUUUGAAAUAGUCAACGUUAAAAAUUGGACCGAAGCCGUUAAUUUUCCGUUUAUACUUUAACAAUUGACUAUUUUAUGUCCAAUUUUGCGCAAGCAAUACUUGGAUAUUAAAUGUGCUGAUUUUAAAUAGUUGGGGAAUAAAAUGCCCAUUUUCCCACUAUAUGGGUAUAGUUUCUCUAUAUCUGAUUUACUCGGAACAUAAUCAAUCCUACCCAGAAUUCCCGAAACCUCAGCUCUAAUUUUCCUGAUGGGCAUUUAGACCAAAAACCCUUGGAAUUUAACCUGUAACCAAUCUCACCUACAGCUGACACACCACUGCAGAAACAUGAGAAUCACCUUUACAGCAACCUGUCUAACAGUUCAAACCUUGAAAGCUUUGCUUGUUCAAUCAUCCUGUUAAAAAAAAACGACUACUUCACGUCUCAGAUCUC
rnacentral:lncRNA from 1 species